GGCCUAACACAUGCAAGUCGAACGGUAGCACAGAGAGCUUGCUCUCGGGUGACGAGUGGCGGACGGGUGAGUAAUGUCUGGGAAACUGCCUGAUGGAGGGGGAUAACUACUGGAAACGGUAGCUAAUACCGCAUAACGUCGCAAGACCAAAGAGGGGGACCUUCGGGCCUCUUGCCAUCAGAUGUGCCCAGAUGGGAUUAGCUAGUAGGUGGGGUAACGGCUCACCUAGGCGACGAUCCCUAGCUGGUCUGAGAGGAUGACCAGCCACACUGGAACUGAGACACGGUCCAGACUCCUACGGGAGGCAGCAGUGGGGAAUAUUGCACAAUGGGCGCAAGCCUGAUGCAGCCAUGCCGCGUGUAUGAAGAAGGCCUUCGGGUUGUAAAGUACUUUCAGCGGGGAGGAAGGUGUUGAGGUUAAUAACCUCAGCAAUUGACGUUACCCGCAGAAGAAGCACCGGCUAACUCCGUGCCAGCAGCCGCGGUAAUACGGAGGGUGCAAGCGUUAAUCGGAAUUACUGGGCGUAAAGCGCACGCAGGCGGUCUGUCAAGUCGGAUGUGAAAUCCCCGGGCUCAACCUGGGAACUGCAUUCGAAACUGCAGGCUGGAGUCUUGUAGAGGGGUAGAUUCCAGGUGUACGGUGAAUGCGUAGAGAUCUGGAGGA
rnacentral:rRNA from 1 species